GGUCCGGUAGCUCAGCUGGAUAGAGCAACAGCCUUCUAAGCUGUGGGUCACAGGUUCGAAUCCUGUUCGGAUCACCA
rnacentral:tRNA from 1 species